rnacentral:rRNA from 1 species
GUAGGUGGCAAGCGUUGUCCGGAAUUAUUGGGCGUAAAGCGCGCGCAGGCGGUUCUUUAAGUCUGAUGUGAAACGCCCGACGGCUCAACCGUGGAGGGUCAUUGGAAACUGGAGAACUUGAGUACAGAAGAGGAAAGCGGAAUUCCACGUGUAGCGGUGAAAUGCGUAGAGAUGUGGAGGAACACCAGUGGCGAAGGCGGCUUUCUGGUCUGUAACUGACGCUGAGGCGCGAAAGCGUGGGGAGCAAACAGGGAUUAGAUACCCUGGUAGUCCACGCCGUAAACGAUGAGUGCUAAGUGUUAGGGGGUUUUCCGGCCCCCUUAGUGCUGCAGCUAACGCAUUAAGCACUCCGCCUGGGGAGUACGGCCGCAAGGCUG